CCUCAUUGUCGAAGUAGGAAUCAGGUUGGUAGUUGAACUUGAUGCCAGGGUAGGAGCAGGUGAGUUUGCGACCACAAGGGAUCCACGAGAUGGUUGAACCUUCAUCGAAUAGGUAAACCGGGCUGAAGUACUUAACACCUUCUUUCAUUAUCAAUCUCACUCUCAACACUUUGCCUUCAUUAUCAUCUGGAAUCAACUGCGUUGGAAGCACUUCUAUCACCGCAUCCGCGUACUGCUUUUGUGGGUCUGUAUAAGCCAUUCAUAGAUUGUUAAACCAGAUGAGUUAAUAUUCUAGGGAAAUAUAAAACAUAAACUAUAAUUAUACCGAUGAAUGCAUCGAAAUCGGGCUUUCGUGCUUCGAUACUUGCUUUGAUGCUCUCUAAACUGUGACCUCUCUCAGCCAUGUCCCUCUAUUAUCAUCAAACCGUUACAAAAGUCCAUAUCAACGACACAUUAACGGUAACGGUCGAGUGAAAUGAAAUAUGUAUAUAGAUAAAGAAACACACCUGGAUUUUCCAAGCGAAUUUGACCUCAUUGCUAAUGUCUAGGUAGAUACUGAAGUCCAACAACUCUCUUACUCUCUCAUCAAACCUUCACAAGUAGAUAAAACAUUAUUAUAAAAUAUUGGAAUGAGCAAUGACCGAAACUAUAUACUUAACUAUUCGAAUAAAACUUUUAAUUCUUGUCAAACUACAAGACUUUCAUGCAAAGGUUCGAAGAUCCGUAUUUGAACCCUCAUACUGAUUCGUAUAUAAUAUUUAAUAAGUCUAAGAUUCUUAAUCAUCCAAAUUCCGACAAGAAAGGAGACUUCCAAACUCGAAACUGAUACGUUUUGUAUUGGUAAAACUUACAUUGGAUGAAGACCUUCGAUGACGAGAAUCUUGGGAGGCUGAAUAAGCUCAGGUGCGUCGAGAAGUCCUGUGACGUGAUUAUAAAUAGGUUUCUCGACGGCGAUGCCACUCUUGAGAGCUUUGACUUGCUCAUACAUGUUUUUUUUAAUUCGAAUGGUUUAUUGGCAUGAAGACAAUGUUGCUAUAUAUUUUGGUGAUAUCAAACUCCCCAGUUUUGAUUCUAUGGUCAGAUACGCAGUGCUAUUGUGUUUAAAUCGAUUUUUAUAAUCAACAUUAGACCUCUUUUAUUCAUAUGAACUUCUUCAAUUUGAGGUUAUAUGGUGAGAAGAUACGAAGUAAUAAACUUGGUAAUUAUAAUUAUAAGCUCGAAAUAGGUUCAGUUAAUGAAGUAUUAAAGGUGAAAUUAAACAACUAAUCAAUCUUAAGUCAGUAAUAAUAGUUGGUUUUAUGCAUAAACGUUAGAAAAGUGAAGUGCAGUGAUCCUUCAAUACCUGCCUCGCGAGAUCAAACGCUCCACUGUUCUUAUAGAUCAAAUACAUAUUGUGAGCAGCCUCUUUACGUAGGUCACAAUUAACAGGUUUACGCUCUUCUGCAACAUUUGGAUCUUCAUUCGGAAGUUCUGGUAUUGGAUAUUCUUUCUCAUAAAACCGCUAUAACCUUCUCGUAGCACGAAGCACAAGUCCUACGUGAUGAUACUCCUGAGCAACGUUAUACAACGCCACUUGGCUGUUACUGCAGAUUCUGAGAUUGUUGUAUAGACAUGCAUCUUGAGUCGGAAACCGAGAGUUAAGUUGAUUAAAGCAGCUCCGGAAAAAAAAGAUGGAGAAGGUGAAACUUUAUACUACUUUUUAAACCCUGACCGAAAAAAAAUCGCGUAUAGAAAGCUCUCUCUAACGUGGAAUGUUUUAGUUAAUUGCAUGUACCAAUCAAUCACAAUCACACAAGGGUUUCGUGGUGUAGUUGGUUAUCACGUCAGUCUAACACACUGAAGGUCUCCAGUUCGAACCUGGACGAAGCCAUUAUUUUAUUUUUCUUUAACAAAACGAAAAUACUCAAAUUUCGUAUUAACAAAAAUAAUCGCCGUUGCCGGGGAUCGAACCCGGGUCACCCGCGUGACAGGCGGGAAUACUUACCACUAUACUACAACGACCUUGUUGUUUGCUAAUCAGACUUUUAUAUUUAUUUUCUAUAACGUGAGUUUCUCUAAGGUUCUGUUCUGUACGUGGUUAUUGCUGUUGAUGAUAAUGUGGCUUUCCAUAUUUGUAGAUGAGCUAAAGAAUUAUUUCUGUGUAAAUGGUGACAUAAUUGAGAAUCAGUUUAUGUAUGAUCACCACACUGGAAAGUCAAGAGGGUUUGGUUUUGUAACCUAUCUGACUGAAGAUUCUGUGGACAAACUUUUCUCUGAUGAGAAAAGUUCAUGAGUUCAGUAACAAACAGGUAACCCUUUCUUUUACUUAUGUUUUCAAGUUUAAGCUAAAGAACCGUAGUAUAUCUCAAGCACUUACAAUGGCUCAAUCGGUCGAUAUAAAAAGGGCUGAACCAAAGAAAACCGGAGGAGAUAACAGCUUUAGCUCCUACGGUGCUAGUGGAAAGUAUGAUCAGGAAGAUUGUUAUGGUGGGAAAGAAAAUGGAGAUAACAUUAUGUAUUCGGGUAAUGGGGAUUAUAUUGGUUUUGGAGCUUAUGACGUCUUCAUUAGUCUUAACUCUUAACGUUGCAUAUACGUUUAUUCCAAGCAGUACCGGACUAACAUUUUUCACUGCCCCAAUCAAAAUUUAAAAUUAUGCCUUUGUGCAUAUUUUAUCAAAAUCAUAAAACAGUAUAAAACAAUUUUAAUUUUUAUUAAAUAGAAAUAGAAGUCUAUAGUUUGUUCAGGAAAUAAAACUGUGAUAAAAAUAUUUAUUGGUAAAAUUAAUUUUGUUUUUUAUUUUUUUAUGCAAAAUUAUCCACUAGAUUUCUACAGUCAUUUUUUUCAACCAUCCAUUAUAUGUCUAUCAUAAAAAUCAGUAAACACAAUCCAUAAAUAUUAUCGUAAUAAAGUGAAGCUAUCAAGCUUUUAUCACAUUUCGAAAACUAUGAACUAACAAACAUAUCUUCUUACUACGUAAAGGAUUAGUUGAAAAAACUGAAACAUUAAAACUAAACUAUAUAUUAAGGGUUAAGAGAAAAGAGGACAAAAAAAAAUUAGAAUAAAAUAAAAUUAUGCAAAACGAUGCAAAAGAAUAAAUUGAAACCAAAAGAAAAUCUGUUUUGUUGCUAAUUUUAAUUAGAGUUUGAAUUAUCAUCUAAAAUAGAAAUUUACUAAUAUAUUUAAUAUAUAACAAAUUUAUAAAUAUAGUUGAAAAGUUCAAAAAAUUUUAUAUAAAAAUGCCUUAUAAAUAAUAUUUUAACAAAAAAAAUUACAAAAAUUUAUUUGUUUAUAGGUAAUAAUACGAAUAUUUUUUUAAAAAUAUGCCCUAUUAUUUUGGAUGCCCUAAUCCACGGCUUGGGUGGCUUACCCUCCGGGCCGGCCCUGAAAGCUAGUAAGGGCUCUUCUUCAAAAAUAUAUUGGUAAUAUAUAUCUCUUUUUCAGUUCAAAAAAAUAUAUAUAUAUAUCUUUUGCAGAUAGCCAAGGUGAUAAAAAUAUUUAGAUGUAUUUCCUUUUUGAAGAAAAUAUAUCUUUUUUCCCUUGAAUGUUUCAUGCAGUUGUGGAUUUCUCUCUGAUCCAGAAGGCAUCAAAGGCAAGUUUUUACCAGUGCACUUCUGUAACUCGAAAUCAAUAUGUAUCUAUGUUAGAUACGUACUAAAAUACAUGAGUAUGAUCAACAGGAAGAAACCUUAAUUCAUUCUUUUGCUUAAAGGUUGAUUUUCGGUUUUAAUCUACUUUUAUCAAUAGAUACUUUUAUCAAUAGAUAAAAGCAUUGUACUAACUUAAUUGUUAUUGCUCUGCUAAUAAAUUUUCUACAUUACAUGCUUUUCUUUUUAUAUCUCCACACAAAUUACAAACAUGCAACACCGUCCUUUUCUCCAUGAAAAUCCGCGGAAACAAAGCAUAAAGAAAGAAAGAAGAAGAAACAACCAAUGGGUUUAUCGACGCGUUCUGUUUUGCUUAUUUGUUUUAGGCUUUAGCAGCUUCUGUAGGAGCAUUGGCUUUGUUGGCAAUGAGCUGCUCAUAGAGAUCUCUGAUUUUCAAUCCAACAAUGGUCUGGAAAAGACCAGUUCCGUUGUUGCUACCAGGGAAGUCAGCAUGUUUGAGCAUUUGUUGAGUCACUUCACCGUAGAAUUUGGUCGAGAGGUUGCUCAGAUGGCUCUCCACGUAAAUCAGCUCGUCAAGUCUAUCGAAUUGCCCAUCCAUCUCCACAACAGAAACCUGAAAGAAAGAACAAAUGUUCAAACCAAGAUCUAAAGAAACUUAAACUUAACUCAUUCUGCAACCUAAAGAGACAAAUGAAUGCACCUCAUUGUCGAAGUAGGAAUCAGGUUGGUAGUUGAACUUGAUGCCAGGGUAGGAGCAGGUGAGUUUGCGACCACAAGGGAUCCACGAGAUGGUUGAACCUUCAUCGAAUAGGUAAACCGGGCUGAAGUACUUAACACCUUCUUUCAUUAUCAAUCUCACUCUCAACACUUUGCCUUCAUUAUCAUCUGGAAUCAACUGCGUUGGAAGCACUUCUAUCACCGCAUCCGCGUACUGCUUUUGUGGG
rnacentral:lncRNA from 1 species